GCAAGAAAAUGCACUCACACAAUUAGCUCCUCCUCCUCUUAUUCUUCUUACCAUAAUCAUAAGAUAGUUGAAAGUGUGUUAACAUGGCUAAGAUGUGCCUAUCUCACAAGCUUGCUUUCUCUUUUGGCCUUCUCCUUGUAGUAUUGGCUGUUCAUUCAAACAUUCAAGUGAUGGCUAUGCGAGUCCUACCUUUAGAGAUACAGAUGAUUGAGCAGUUUCUAAUCCCAGAUCUUACCUCAUUAAAAGGCAGAUGUUUCUCCCCUUGCAAAUCUAGUGCAGAAUGCAAUGUACAGAAAAUGUGUUCACAAUGUCGAAAGAGUAUGCGUUGGAGGUCGUCUAAGAGUUGCAUGGCUCCAAAUUAACCCAAUUUGAAUCAAUCUCAUAUGAUAUUUUCUAUGUUCCUUUUUUGCCUACUUGAUCCUUCUGAGAGCUGAGUUUCUAUCGGAAAUAAUCUUUCUAUCGAUACAAGGCAGGAUUAAGGUCUGCGUACACACUACCCUUCUCAGACCCCAUUUGUAGAAAAACACUGGGUAUGUUUUUCUUGUUAUUGUUGUUGUUACUUGCACCUUCUAAGAGCCGAUGGUCUAUCGAAAAUAGUCUUUCUAUCUGCACAAGAUAGGAAUAAAGUCUGUGUAUACACUACCCUCCCCAGGCUUCACUUGUAAAAAUAAAUUGUGUAUGUUGUUGUUGUUACUUGCUCCUUCUAAGCUUUGUGUCACUUGUAAAAUUAAAGUUACUAUCUUUAUUCUGAAUAAAUAAAUGUGUGUUAAGGUGUUACCAUAUUAA